rnacentral:rRNA from 1 species
ACUCACGUAUAGGAGGUCUUACCUGCCCAGUGAUAAGCUUAAACGGCCGCGGUAUUUUGACCGUGCGAAGGUAGCGCAAUCACUUGUCUUUUAAAUGAAGACCUGUAUGAAUGGUGGAACGAGGGCUUAACUGUCUCCUCUCUCAAGUCAAUGAAAUUGAUCUGCCUGUGCAGAAGCAGACAUAUAAAUACAAGACGAGAAGACCCUUUGGAGCUUAAGAUAUAAAGAUCAACUACGUCAAGAACUCCCAAACAGUACUUAAACUAACUAGCACCUGAUCUUCUUCUUCAGUUGGGGCGACCACGGGAGAAAAUAAAGCUCCCAUGAGGACUGGGGCUAUGCCCUAAAACCAAGAGAAACAUCUCAAAGCCACAGAACAUCUGACCGAAUAGAUCCGGCCACCAGCCGACCAACGAACCAAGUUACCCUAGGGAUAACAGCGCAAUCCUCUUCAAGAGUCCAUAUCGACAAGAGGGUUUACGACCUCGAUGUUGGAUCAGGACAUCCUAAUGGUGCAGCCGCUAUUAAGGGUUCGUUUGUUCAACGAUUAAAGUCCUACGUGAU